GGGCUGCCUGAUGCUUGUAAUGUGUGUGUUCAUGAGAACUCUCUGGUUUGACUCAGUGCAGAAAUGUUACUUAUUUCAACUGCAGCAUUAUUGCUCUUUGGGACGGGUUUUCUCCAAGUAACAUUUUCUACAGCAAGCACACAGGCUCAGCCAGGACAAAGUGUCACUAUGUGGUGUCCACAUGAUAUCCAUAUUUCUGGAGACCUGUACUGGUUCAAACAAACUGAUGGUGAUGUACCAAUUCCUAUUGUGCACAUGUUAUACACUGAAAGCCUUCAGAAGUUAGAGCCAAGUUAUUUCAAUGGUUUUACAAAACAGGACCUGGUCAUGAAUUUGUUCAGCAAAAGCACAACCUUAACAAUUAAGCAUGCGAAUAUUUCUGAUUCUGGCUUCUAUUUUUGUGGAGCUACGGGAUAUCACACGAAAUUUGGCAAUGGAACUAGGCUUGAAGUGAAAGAUGAUGAGAAAUCUCCUUCGUCUAGUACUAAGGAGUGUUCUAGAGACAUCUUUUUCACAUUGACACUCCUAUUUGGUUGCAUCAUUGUUUUUAUAUGUAUUAUUCCUCUAAUUAUGGCUAUUAUCAAGGAACACAAAAGGCAGAAGCUUAAAAAAGUCGCUGAAUGUCAAACACAACAGCAUGAUGACAAGGAAGAUGACUCAGUAGAAUAUGCUGCGGUGCAUUUCAAAAACAAGAGACCCAAAACAGCAGGAAGACAGGCCGAGUACUCAACUGCUGUGUAUACUGACACUACUUGAAACAUAAAACAACCUCAAACACUUAUUAACACCUGAAUAAUAUCACAGUUUAUUUUUUAGAAAUGUAAUUAUAUUGGAGGUCAAAUGGUUAGGCAGAAAGCUGAGGUUCCUUCCGAGUAUCACAUGCUUCAUCCCUGGGCCUUCAGAGAAUUAAAAUCAGGAUAAAAUCAAGUUUAGCAAUUUGUGAGCCAGGUAAAAUGUAUCAUGUCUCUAAAUUAAUUUAGAAACUAUCAAUUAAAGACAUGUUUAAAGAUACAUAAGUGUCAAAGAUGCUUUGGAAAAAUGUAUUCUCAAAAGUGCUAUGGGGAAACUACAUGGGGAGCUAAAGCAGUAAACAAAACAUCAAAUUCAUCUAAAUAUAUCUGAUCAAUAAUGAUACUUCUUGUUUUGAACUGGCAAUAUGAGCUGUGGAGUUGUCUGUUGAUUGACAGGUUUGUCAUAGUUUGGAUGUUUGCAUAAGCCACACCCCCUCAUAUAAAUAAAGCACAUUGAUUUCCUCAUCUUAA